AGAACAAACACAACUAGAGACGAUAAUACGAAGAAGUAUAUUUCAGAUAGGGAAAAUAUGUCAAAUGAAGUGAUAAACAAGAUAAUAUUAACUGCAAUAUGUAUUGGCUCGAUUCUUUUCUUUUGUAUGGGAUUAUUCUUAGAUGAAUUGUUAGAUAGGUACUAUCGGGAAGUUUACUUUAUUUACCAGCCCCUCAGUGAUAUCGAGCUAAUAGAGGGACAAACUGCUAGAUUAAAAUACAAAUUGUCCACCAACAGAUUUCCAGUUUCGUUUUUGAAAGACAAUCA